ACUCUCAGCGGCCGAGAGGGAAUCCUCCCGGUCGAUGAGAGUGUACACUCUCAGCGGCCGAGAGAGAAUCCUCCCAGUUGAUGAGAGUGUACACUCUCACCAGCCGGGAGGAAUCCCUCUCCGCCGUUGAGAGU
rnacentral:miRNA from 1 species